AUUGAACGCUGGCGGCAUGCCUUACACAUGCAAGUCGAACGGCAGCGGGGGAGAAGCUUGCUUUUCCUGCCGGCGAGUGGCGAACGGGUGAGUAAUACAUCGGAACGUGCCCUGUAGUGGGGGAUAACUAGUCGAAAGAUUAGCUAAUACCGCAUACGACCUGAGGGUGAAAGUGGGGGGCCGCAAGGCCUCAUGCUAUAGGAGCGGCCGAGGUCUGAUUAGCUAGUUGGUGGGGUAAAGGCCUACCAAGGCGACGAUCAGUAGCUGGUCUGAGAGGACGAUCAGCCACACUGGGACUGAGACACGGCCCAGACUCCUACGGGAGGCAGCAGUGGGGAAUUUUGGACAAUGGGCGAAAGCCUGAUCCAGCAAUGCCGCGUGUGUGAAGAAGGCCUUCGGGUUGUAAAGCACUUUUGUCCGGAAAGAAAUGGCUCUGGUUAAUACCUGGGGUCGAUGACGGUACCGGAAGAAUAAGGACCGGCUAACUACGUGCCAGCAGCCGCCGUAA
rnacentral:rRNA from 1 species